ACAAAACGAAAGCAAUAUAUCUUCCGCCCCCUAAUUCUCUCUCUUUGGACUAUAUUUUUCUUUGUUUAAAAUCUAGUCAUUUACACGUUGAGAAUCGACUUCAGUUCUCAGGAAACAUUUGCUGAUAAUAAUGGCGGGUCAAA